GAUGAGAACGUAGCGAAAUGCGAUACUUGGUGUGAAUUGCAGAAUCCCGUGAACCAUCGAGUCUUUGAACGCAAGUUGCGCCCGAAGCCAUUAGGCCGAGGGCACGCCUGCCUGGGCGUCACACGUCGUUGCCCCCCCAUCUACUCCUUCGGGAUUGCGGGGGGCGGAUGAUGGCCUCUCGUGCGCCUCGUCGCGCGGUUGGCCUAAAUGCCAAGUCCUCGGCGACGCACGCCACGACAAUCGGUGGUUGCGAAACCUCGGUUGCCUGUCGUGUGCGGUCGUCGCGCAUCGAGGGCUCGAAAAAAUUGCCGGGCUUCGGCUCGACUUUCAACGCGACCCCAGGUCAGGCGGGGUUACCCGCUGAAUUUAAGCAUAUCAAUAAGCGGAGGA
rnacentral:misc_RNA from 1 species